CCUGAGUCAUCCUAAACACAGGGGUCAAAAGGGAUGAAUUAUACAGUAACCAUAUUCACUUAGGUUUUGAGUAUUGCGAUUGCGACUAUUCGACCUAUCCGGAUGUCGGGUACCAUUGCUAGUUGAUCACUUCGAUUAGUACAGGAAUUGGUUCCUAUGCUACCAGUUUAAGUUCGAACCUGCGGGGUCACACACAUUAGAGGUUCCUAUCUGAUCUGAUG
rnacentral:lncRNA from 1 species